UUGGCUAAUCAAACUAAAUAAAAAUAUUAAAUAAAAUAUUUCAUUUUCUUCUAAAACAAUAUUUAUAGAACUUUGCGUAAAUAAUUUUUGCAGCGUAAAAGCAAAAUAAAUUCAUACAUACAGUGGCACACACAGCCAGGUAUACAAAAUAUUCUACAAUGACAUGUGGACCCCAAAAUAACCGAAAACAUACAAGAUUGUAGAAUUUCAAUUUCUAAGGAUGCAAAUCCAAAAGCAACCCUUGACAAAAUCGACUGUCUACAGACUAUCCUGAGCCUGAAAUAGGUAAAAAAGAAGGGGUGAGUUUUUAUAAACCCAGUGAGUAAGCAAAUUUCAUCUAUAAUAUCUAAAAUCGAGUAAAUGGAGAUAAUUUAAAACAUCUCAGUAUAAUAUGAUUCAUAACAUCAAAUCUCAUUUCAACCCAUAUAAAUCAAUUACAUUUCAUCAAAAAUAAUCAAUAAGGCUUAUGAUUCUCUUAAAAAUUUAGCUUGUGCCAAAACUCAUACUCGGUGACAUCUUGGCCAAAGCAUCCAACCGAGUCCGCCAAGGCUGUUAAAAUAACAUAUGCACAUAAAACAAGUUUUUUACAUUUAAAACAUAGCCGUUCCUUGGCGUUGGCUAAGUUUCACCUUGACGUGGUGGUUCAGCGUGAAGUGAACUCUAACGUUACCUUAGGAGAUACCCUCUACGCCUCUCGUACCAAGAUAAAAUAUAACCGGAUUUACCGUGCCCCUCUAAUAGGCUGGUACACGGAAACCUGCCCACUACAGUAAGCUAAUCAAAUAACCCACCAAUUCAAUAAAAUUUUCGACAGCAUGACAUGGCUAAUAUAAUAUUACCAACCUAUCAAGGCAAAGCAAAACAGUUCAUAUAUUCCACACAAACACAAAUCUAGCCAUACUUGCCAUCACAUUGUCAUAAGCCAUCAAUUCAAACCAUAUGUCAAAACAUUUAUAUAACACAAGUAUAUAGUUUCCACUUACUGAAUUUCCAAAACCAGUAUUCAAUUUCAAAACAAGUUAUAAAUCACAUUUCGUUUAAUCAACAUUUCAAUUAUAAAACAUAAUAGUUUGUAAUUUAAAUUCAUUUUUCUUUAAAACAUAAAAACGAGAAUCAACUACUUUAGAUAAUUAAGAUAAAAGUCUGAUUACUCACAAUAACGGGAGUAUGGAGUACUCUUAUUCUUGAUCCUUGGGUACGAUAUCCUUACCCUUACCAGAGGACUCACCAC
rnacentral:lncRNA from 1 species